AGAGGAAUAUGUGGAUGAGUUUUGCACCUUAAACUGCCUCAUACCUCAAGCCACAGCAUUUGCGGCUCCCCCAUGCCCCCCUCCCAUCCCCUUCUUAGGAGAGCCUUUAAUAUGUAAAUGCCAGUGAUCAGGUCGGGAGCUGCUACAGUGAAUUUCAAGUGGGGUGGGGUGGGGUGAGGUCAGGUGGGUGGGAGGGAGUGGGGGGUCGGCAGGCCUGUUUCUAGGAUUUUGGGGUCCCUAGGCAACGGGAUUGUUGGGGGCCCUAGGGCAUUUUUUGGCCUUUUACUAAAAUGUGUGUGUGUGUGUGUGUGUGUGUGUGUGUGUGUGUGUGUGUGUGUGUGUGUGUGUGUGUGUGUGUGUGUGUGUGUGUGUCUGUAUGUAUGUUUGUUCACGCUGCCCAGUGGUGUUUUUCAGAAUCACUAACCAUUAAACCAGGGGUAGUGAACCUAUGUCUCGAGGGCCCUUGAGGCCGUUUUAUCCGGCCCCUGAUAUCAUUAUAAUGUUUUGCAACUUCACAUGAAAUAGGCCUAUGACAUAUUUUGCAGGCCUAAAGGAAUCUUAGAAAUUACAUUUCCAAUGCAAUUAAGUUAGGCCUAUAUUCAGGGGACCUAGAAAAGGUGGGGACUGUUUUAAAUGUGUCUACCUUUAAAGGUGUCUAUAUGUCUAUAUAGGCCUAAAGGUGUCUAUAUAUGCCUAAAUUUCAUGGGGAAAUCCUGAUUUGUGUUCAUAGUACGGCCCCGGAGGAUUUUAUGACCAUGGUAGGAAUUUGAAGUGGCCCUUCGAAUGAAAAAGGUUCCCCACCCCUGCAUUAAACCUUUCUUCUAGCCACAGCUCUGCUGUCAGUACAUUUUAUUAUGAUACUAUAAGCUCAGAAAUGAAGUUGAUCGAACAAUUCGAUCGGUGCUAUAAACAUUUAAAUGAACCGAAUAGAAAUCAGAAUAGAAACAUCUGAAUGAUCUUUCUUGGACAUAGCCUACAUUUUGAAGUGACCCUUUGAAUUAAAAAGGUUCCUCACCCCUGCUUUUGAGGAAAAACAUCAAUGUGCUUGGCCACUCUGGUUUUUAAAUUAUUCUGAACUAAAGCAAGGAUUGUUCAAGGAAGUUCAAAACAGACUGUCUCUGGUUAAAUUAGUUCUACACCAAGCCUUUAGGUGGCAGUACAACUAAUUCGCACAAUGCGAAUUCCACACACAAGCCACAAAGAAGCCAUCUACCGCGGUCAACAACACCGACCUAUCUGAACAGAACCACGCGCUGUCUGUGUGGUUUCACUGUUACAAGUUUCUUGGCGACAUGGGGGAAAGUUCCUCACAUACCAACGGAAAAUGGGCUUCACAUACAUGCUGCUGUCUCAUAAUAUGGCGAAGACGAGUCACUUGAAGGCCUAACAGCUCUUAUGAGGAGCAGUCUUGCCAUAGAAGACUGAAAGAAUGAGCUGUAGAAACAACAGGGUGCCUGCUGCAGUAUGACGAGGACGCCCUGAUCAUAGAAGGUCCAGUGUCUUGGCAGGGUGAAAUGCCACUGAUAUCGUGUCCUGCAGGAUGCUGUGUCCUGCAAUCCUGUGUGCUGUGCUACAGACGCGUGUGGAGGUCAACCCGAAAUGGGCACAGUAGCGUGAAAGAGGAUCCUGGCAGGGAGACGGUAGUGUCCUGCAGGAUGGUGAUGGGCAAUCUUACAAGAGACCACAGAAAACUGAUAUAGUCUCCCAGAAGUGAGACUGAGUGCCUGUUGCAGUAUGACGAGGAAGCAGUGACCAGAGACCUUCAGUAGACCCUGCUGGCAUGAUUGGCGGCUGAAGAACAUAAUCAACAGCAAUGUUUAUAAUAUUGUACAUACCUGUAUAGUCUGCACUAAAAUGCUGUACCUGUACUAUUUUUCCUCUUACUUUCAUAUUUACUAUGAAUUGACAACUUUUACUCAAAUCCAUUUUUGUAUGUGCCCUGACUAAAACUAUCCUUAAACCUAACCUGUCAGAGGUGUAAUAACAACCUGCUCUUAGCAAUGUGGCAGCAGUCUACUUGGAUGCAGCGGGGAACAUAGAACCCUUUUUUUGAAAAAGCAUUGUAUGUUUCUGAGUUUUAUGAAUUGUGCCCUUCCCAAACCUAACCUGUCGUAGGGGCCUAUGAAAUCCGUUUUUUUUAAUUAUUAUUAUUUACAUUUUUGAACUUAUU